rnacentral:lncRNA from 1 species
AGGGGGACUUCACACGGAGGAAUGAGGGGUGGGAUGCAGUGACAUCACAAGGGUCCCAUUAUGACCCCUCCUCCAUCAGCUAAGGGGGGAUGGGCUGAGCCUGAACAGAGGGAGAGGGGAGUAAAUAAGGGGCUGUUGCCAGAGCCUGAGCCCACCAGAGAAAGUCUGUGUGCAGAGGGAGGGCCUCAGGUCCUGCUGCUCCUUCAUCUUGACCCCUUCACACCCUCCUCUAACAGGGACCUCGACCUCCCUUCUCCACUCUCCUGGAUCCUGCUCAGUGUGGUGCAGGCCUUCUCUGGGGCCCUGGAGUUCCCACUGACCUUCAGCCCCGCCAGUUGCAUCUGCUGUUCCCACUGAAGGUUAGUGGACAGGGUGGAGGUGGCUAAAGGUGGAAAAGAUACUUUGUGAGAGGGGGACCCCAACACGAGGACAGGGCACUGACGGAGCCUUUACCAAAAUGCUGGGAAAGGUCUCCCCACCAUCCACAUAUUCUCUCCCAGGCCUCAAAGGGCCCUCCCCAGUCUCCAGCUGUCAGCUUUCCCACCUCCACCUUCUCUCCUCCUUUCGGUUCUGCUUCUGAAUUUCUUCAAAAAUUCUCCUGCAUCAAGACUCUCAUGCUAGUCAGUUCCUGCCUGGGGUCACCAGACUGCUUCGAAGUCAGGAAGAACAUGGUGGGGACGGUGACUUGAGUUUCCUGGACCACAGUGCAGGUGAGAAAUGCACC